ACGCGAGCUUCGGCUCGAGUGGCAGACGGGUGAGUAACACGUGAGAAUUCGCCUCUAGGAAGGGGACAACAGUUGGAAACGGCUGCUAAUACCCUAUAUGUCGUAAGAUGAAAGGUUUUCCGCCUAGAGAGAAGCUCGCGGCUGAUUAGCUAGUUGGUGGGGUAAGGGCCCACCAAGGCGAAGAUCAGUAGCUGGUUUGAGAGGAUGAUCAGUCACACUGGAACUGAGACACGGUCCAGACUCCUACGGGAGGCAGCAGUGGGGAAUUUUCUGCAAUGGGCGAAAGCCUGACAGAGCAAUACCGCGUGAGGGAUGAAGGCUUUCGAGUUGUAAACCUCUUUUAUCAAGGAGGAAGUUCUGACGUUACUUGAUGAAUAAGCAUCGGCUAACUCCGUGCCAGCAGCCGCGGUAAGACGGAGGAUGCAAGUGUUAUCCGGAAUCACUGGGCGUAAAGCGUCUGUAGGUGGUUUAGCAAGUCUGUUGUUAAAGCUCAAGGCUCAACCUUGACAGGGCAAUGGAUACUACUAGACUUGAGGUUUGCAGAGGUAGAGGGAAUUUCCAGUGGAGCGGUGAAAUGCGUAGAUAUUGGAAAGAACACCAAAGGCGAAGGCACUCUACUGGGUUAUACCUGACACUGAGAGACGAAAGCUAGGGUAGCAAAUGGGAUUAGAUACCCCAGUAGUCCUAGCCGUAAACGAUGGAUACUAGAUGUUGGAGGUCCCGAUCCCUCUGAUAUCAAAGCUAACGCGUUAA
rnacentral:rRNA from 1 species